ensembl:lncRNA PANTR1 POU3F3 adjacent non-coding transcript 1
GGGGAAGCCGAGGGCGCUGCUCGCCAGCGAGACUUCUGGUACAUUCGGCCAUCCCAGCAGGGAAACAAGGCUCUCGAUCCAUCCACCUUCGUCCCUCAAGUGGUAGGAAACUUUCCGACGCCUCCCGCGGCUCUGCCAGGAGAGAAGAGACAAGCUCCCCCUCCCAACCCCUUAGUAAUGACUGAGUCUAGCGAAGCUAGCCAGCCGGGAGGCAAACUCCCCCUGCCGCCCCGAGGCCUCCUCCAGCCGCUGAGACUGGAAAGCGGACUUGCGACGCCACGCCGGCCGUCGUUGGUGACAAGUGUGACAACACCGUCCCGGUCCUACGGAAUCCACCUGGGUCAGUAACCUGAGACUGAAGAGUACAACAGUGAGCUCAGCGUCUCGAUGCCUCUGUCCCUCCUGAUGGCCUGAGGGUAACACAAUUGCCUUCUUUUUGGGAGGGACUCAGCCCACUCCAAUAUUGAGAAUCAGAGCGCCCCAGUGUUGGGAAUCAGUCCUCCCUAACGGUGGGAAUCAGCCUUGCCCAGUGUUGGGAAUCAGCCCUCCCUAAUGUUGGGAAUUAGCUCUCCCCAAAUGUUGCGUAUCAGUCCUCCCCAAUGUUGAGAGUCAGCCCUCCCUAAUGGUGGGAAUCAGCCCUCUCCAGAGUUGGGAAUAAGUCCUCUGCAAUGAUGGGAAUCGGUCUUCCUUAAUAGUGGGACUUAGUCCUCCCCAGUGUUGGGAAUCAGCUCUCCCUUAUGGUAGGAAUCAGUUCUCCCCAGUACUGGGAAUCAGCUCUCCCUAAUGGUGGGUAUUUACCCUCCCCAGUGGUGGGAAUCAGUCCUCCCUAAUGGUGGGAAUCAGUCCUCCCUAAUGGUGGGAAUCAGCUCUCCCUAAUGGUGGGAAUCAGCUCUCCCUAAUGGUGGGAAUCAGCUCUCCCCAGUGGUGGGAAUCAGCCCUCGCCAGUGGAGAGAAUCAGGUCUCCCCAAUGGAGGGAAUGAGUCUUCCACAAUUUAGGGAAUCAACCCUCCUUUGUGGUCAGAGUCAGUUUUCCUUAAUGGUGGGAAUCAGCAUUUCCUAAUGGUGGAAAUUUGCCCUCCCCAAAGGUGGGAAUCAGCCCUUCCCUGUGGAGGAAGUCAGCCCUCUCCAAUUGUGGAGAAGUGCCACUGGGAAGGGCCAGUUCCUUUCCAUCUCCACAAUUGAGGGAAUUGGCCCUUAACAGUGGUACUUCAAGCUUAGGAGUCAUAACUGCUCACCAUCGUUUUGGUGUUCUUAACCCUCACUCCACCUCUGUAAACAGAUCCUUCAUUAGUGUCACCCCAGUUUACCAUAUGAAUUAGCCGUCUGUUUCCCACAGGGAUGCUGACUGCCACAGUAGCUUAGACCAUGAUAAAUGCGACGGAAAGAUGUCAUUUCGUCCCCCCUCCCCCAGUUCAGCAGUAAUAUUACUUGUUCUUACCUGCCACGAUUGGACUAAGUGUCAUCUAGCAUCAGGUUGCAUUGCUGUCCUGUGGCUCAAUUACUUGCUGAUAAGCCACACAAUUCACCAUCAUUGUACGUUCUAAAGCAAGGGAACCUCCAUUGCCUGCGCCCUGAAGGCAGCAACCAUGUUCUGUGAUGCUUGGUGAAUCCUCAGCUCCUCAUGUAGUGUGAGGGGAGACAAAGACCUAUUUAUCCACAGCCUAGUUCAACAAACUCACAGCAGUCUAUACAAGGUGGUGUCCCAGCACAUUCACAUGUUUCCCGAGACCCUUCCCACCCAGCUCUCUCUCCUGCCCCUGUCAGCCCAGCACUUGCUCUGUGCUCACGGGGCCACCUGUACAUUCCUAGUCCACCUCGUGCUCUUAUUUGGCUGUGAGUAAAGACCCAGUUCAAGUGUCCUCUUCUCUGAAGCCUUCACUGGUUUCAUCAUUUCAAAGAAGUGGGGGGCCUUUCCCUUUAACUUUGGGAGACACAUAUCUGUGUAUCACCAGGCCACCUCAGUUGACUCGUGCCUUUUUGUUUUCUAAGUAACUUUUAGAAAUUCUUGGGCUCUUUCCCCUGUCCAGUUCACACUGGCCUGAACCAGCUAGGUAAGCCAAACCCAGUAUUUUCCUUGUCUGCAUUUAAGCUUAUUGCUUAGCUUUGGGGAGUGAACCUGGGCUCAGAGCUCUGCAGUUCAUGCGUCUCCUCCUUUUGAAAAGAGGAUUCAGAUGGUCUAGAGCUUGCUCCGUGUUAGCGGGUGGUAUAUAGACUUAUCAGUUUCCUUCUGGAAGCCCCAGAUGGAUGACAUCCGGUCAAGGAGUUUUGCUCCUCUGUUCAAGUUUUUCAGGUUACUCCAUUACUUCCCCCCUAGAGACAUCAAUCUGUGUUAAGGCCAAACUAGAAUUUCCUGAGCAAAAAGCCCUUGAAAUGUGAAAUUCCUCACUUCUCUUGAUGAUAAAAGUGACGCAGAAAGAAAAAAUAACAGUUUUGUUACCUGAUGGUACUUAUUAGUUAGCUCCCCUCGGAAGCAGUACUGAGAAAUUUCACGUGCAUUUGAGUUAUACUCUGGGGGAAUUUGUCAACACAUGUCACUGAGUGGACACCACGAAUGUGUAUAUUGUUUUCAUCUGUAAUCGAAGAAAUAAGAAUAAUAUUCGUCAUUUAACUAUGCACUUAAGAAUCAUUCAGUAUCAGUUUAAGUUGAAAA